rnacentral:rRNA from 1 species
CGUAGGGUGCGAGCGUUAAUCGGAAUUACUGGGCGUAAAGGGUGCGCAGGCGGCGUCGCAAGUCAGGCGUGAAAUCCCCGGGCUUAACCUGGGAAUUGCACUUGAAACUACGAUGCUGGAGUAUGGCAGAGGGAGGUGGAAUUCCACGUGUAGCGGUGAAAUGCGUAGAGAUGUGGAGGAACACCGAUGGCGAAGGCAGCCUCCUGGGCCAAUACUGACGCUCAUGCACGAAAGCGUGGGGAGCAAACAGGAUUAGAUACCCUGGUAGUCCACGCCCUAAACGAUGAUGACUAGUUGUUGGAGGAGUUAAAUCCUUUAGUAACGCAGCUAACGCGAGAAGUCAUCCGCCUGGGGAUACGGUCGCAAGAUUA